rnacentral:rRNA from 1 species
AUUGAACGCUGGCGGCAGGCCUAACACAUGCAAGUCGAGCGAGCGGCGGACGGGAGAGUAAUGUCUGGGACACUGCCCGAUGGAGGGGGAUACCUACUGGAAACGGUAGCUAAUACCGCAUACCAUCAGAUGUGCCUAGAUGGGCUUAGCUAGUAGGUGGGGUAACGGCUCACCCAGGCGACGAUCCCUAGCUGGUCUGAGAGGAUGACCGGCCACACGGGAACUGGGACACGGUCCAGACUCCUACGGGAGGCAGCAGUGGGGAAGAUUGGACAAUGGGCGCAAGCCUGAUGCAGCCAUGCCGCGUGUAUGAAGAAGGCCUUCGGGUUGUAAAGUACUUUCAGCGGGGAGGCGUUACCCGCAGAAGAAGCACCGGCUAACUCCGUGCCAGCAGCCGCGGUAAUAC